AGAGUUUGAUCCUGGCUCAGGACGAACGCUGGCGGCGUGCCUAACACAUGCAAGUCGAACGGAGAAUUUUAUUUCGGUAGAAUUCUUAGUGGCGAACGGGUGAGUAACGCGUAGGCAACCUGCCCUUUAGACGGGGACAACAUUCCGAAAGGAGUGCUAAUACCGGAUGUGAUCAUUGUGCCGCAUGGCAGGAUGAAGAAAGAUGGCCUCUACAAGUAAGCUAUCGCUAAAGGAUGGGCCUGCGUCUGAUUAGCUAGUUGGUAGUGUAACGGACUACCAAGGCGAUGAUCAGUAGCCGGUCUGAGAGGAUGAACGGCCACAUUGGGACUGAGACACGGCCCAAACUCCUACGGGAGGCAGCAGUGGGGAAUCUUCCGCAAUGGACGAAAGUCUGACGGAGCAACGCCGCGUGAGUGAUGAAGGAUUUCGGUCUGUAAAGCUCUGUUGUUUAUGACGAACGUGCAGUGUGUGAACAAUGCAUUGCAAUGACGGUAGUAAACGAGGAAGCCACGGCUAACUACGUGCCAGCAGCCGCGGUAAUACGUAGGUGGCGAGCGUUGUCCGGAAUUAUUGGGCGUAAAGAGCAUGUAGGCGGCUUAAUAAGUCGAGCGUGAAAAUGCGGGGCUCAACCCCGUAUGGCGCUGGAAACUGUUAGGCUUGAGUGCAGGAGAGGAAAGGGGAAUUCCCAGUGUAGCGGUGAAAUGCGUAGAUAUUGGGAGGAACACCAGUGGCGAAGGCGCCUUUCUGGACUGUGUCUGACGCUGAGAUGCGAAAGCCAGGGUAGCGAACGGGAUUAGAUACCCCGGUAGUCCUGGCCGUAAACGAUGGGUACUAGGUGUAGGAGGUAUCGACCCCUUCUGUGCCGGAGUUAACGCAAUAAGUACCCCGCCUGGGGAGUACGGCCGCAAGGUUGAAACUCAAAGGAAUUGACGGGGGCCCGCACAAGCGGUGGAGUAUGUGGUUUAAUUCGAAGCAACGCGAAGAACCUUACCAGGGCUUGACAUCCCGAGGCCCGGCCUAGAGAUAGGCCUUUCUCUUCGGAGACCUCGGUGACAGGUGGUGCAUGGUUGUCGUCAGCUCGUGUCGUGAGAUGUUGGGUUAAGUC
rnacentral:rRNA from 1 species